rnacentral:rRNA from 1 species
GAUGAACGCUGGCGGCGUGCUUAACACAUGCAAGUCGAACGAAGCAUUUGCGACAGAUUUCUUCGGAUUGAAGUUGCUUAUGACUGAGUGGCGUACGGGUGAGUAACGCGUGGGUAAGCUGCCUCAUACCGGUGGAUAGCAGCUGGAAACGGCUGGUAAUACUGCAUAAGCGCACAGUAUCACAUGGUACAGUGUGAAAAACGCCGGUGGUAUGCUAUGGACCCGCGUCUGAUUAGCUAGUUGGUGGGGUAACGGCCCAACAAGUCGACGAUCAGUAGCCGACCUGAGAGGGUGACCGGCCACAUUGGGACUGAGACACGGCCCAGACUCCUACGGGAGGCAGCAGUGGGGAAUAUUGCACAAUGGAGGAAACUCUGAUGCAGCGACGCCGCGUGAGUGAAGAAGUAGUUCGCUAUGUAAAGCUCUAUCAGCAGGGAAGAUAGUGACGGUACCUGACUAAGAAGCUCCGGCUAAAUACGUGCCAGCAGCCGCAGUAA